rnacentral:rRNA from 1 species
UACGGAGGGUGCGAGCGUUGUCCGGAAUCACGUGGCGUAAAGGGCGCGUAGGCGGCGCGGGUAGUCAUCGGUGAAAGUUCAGGGCUCAACUCUGAAUCGGCCGGUGAUACUCCCGUGCUUGAGCACUGUAGAGGCAGGUGGAAUUCCGGGUGUAGCGGUGGAAUGCGUAGAGAUCCGGAAGAACACCGGUGGCGAAGGCGGCCUGCUGGGCAGUAGCUGACGCUGAUGCGCGACAGCGUGGGGAGCAAACAGG